UACGUAGGUGGCAAGCGUUGUCCGGAAUUAUUGGGCGUAAAGCGCGCGCAGGUGGUUUCUUAAGUCUGAUGUGAAAGCCCACGGCUCAACCGUGGAGGGUCAUUGGAAACUGGGGAACUUGAGUGCAGAAGAGGAAAGUGGAAUUCCAAGUGUAGCGGUGAAAUGCGUAGAGAUUUGGAGGAACACCAGUGGCGAAGGCGGCUAUCUGGACAGAAACUGACGCUGAGGCGCGAAAGCUAGGGGAGCAAACAGG
rnacentral:rRNA from 1 species